GGAAUGUAUACCAUUACUGUAUUAUCAGUUCUGUGAAAUUUUGCUCUAAGGCCCACUGGAAAAUGGGUUUGUAGUUAGAGAGGGAUGUAUGGUUGAGAAAGGUUUUUGUUUUUAUUUGUUUCAUUAGGACUAGAGAAUUCAUAAGUCAGUGUUUGUAAGCCAGUGGGAAUGAUCUAGGAAAGGUGGAAAAAAUGUAUGUUAAAUUUGUGCAAGAAACUAUUCUUAGGACUACAUCUCUCUCUGUGCCUUUGUCUAACUACAUCUAUAUUUUAUUUCUAUAUGUAUAUAUUCAUUGAAUUCUUGCAACAGUCCUGAGAUACUCUUUUUUUUUUUUUUUCUGAGAUACUCUUAUUAUGCCCAUUUACAGAUAUGAAGUUUGGGCACUAACAAGUUGAGCAAUAUUCUCAAGAUUACAAAGCUAGUAAAUGGCCAUGUUAGGAUUCAAAUUAGAAUGCCUGCAUAAAAAGCCAGAGAUUUAAUCACUGUGGUCUUCUGGCUCUGAGGCUUACUUUAGAGUCCUACCUUGGCUUCCUCUGAACAGAUUAUUUCAAUUAUUCUAGAGUGUUCUAUCAAGUGUCAUGACUGAGGGAAAGUCUGGCUGGCUGUGCAGAGGUUCUGGAAGAGAAACAAAGAGAAAGGACUGCUGGAUAUUAGGAAUAACUCUGGACAUACCUGUUUCAAGCGAACAAAAGCAAACAAAUACAGAAUUCCGUAACCCAAUAUAUUCUCAAGUAGGUAAAUUUUUCUGUUUAGCUAUAUAUAGAUCCAGCUAUUUAUACAAUUAGGUACUGCCUAUAUAAAUAAGUAUGCACAUAUAAUACUCAUGUAAUCUAUUCUGUUGUAUUAUUUAAGAAGGUAGAAUAUAUUUGAAUUUUUUU
rnacentral:lncRNA from 1 species